rnacentral:rRNA from 1 species
CGCGAAGGCAAGCGGAUCUCUUAAAGCNGUUCUCAGUUCGGACUGCAGUCUGCAACUCGACUGCACGAAGCUGGAAUCGCUAGUAAUCGCGGAUCAGCACGCCGCGGUGAAUACGUUCCCGGGCCUUGUACACACCGCCCGUCACACCAUGGAAGUCUGCAAUGCCCGAAGCCGGUGGCCUAACCACUUAUGUGGAAGGAGCCGUCUAAGGCAGGGCAGAUGACUGGGGUGAAGUCGUAACAAGGUAGC